rnacentral:rRNA from 2 species
UUAGCGGCGGACGGGUGAGUAACACGUGGGCAACCUGCCUGUAAGACUGGGAUAACUCCGGGAAACCGGAGCUAAUACCGGAUAGUAUCUUGAACCGCAUGGUUCAAGCUGGAAAGACGGUUUCGGCUGUCACUUACAGAUGGGCCCGCGGCGCAUUAGCUAGUUGGUGAGGUAAUGGCUCACCAAGGCAACGAUGCGUAGCCGACCUGAGAGGGUGAUCGGCCACACUGGGACUGAGACACGGCCCAGACUCCUACGGGAGGCAGCAGUAGGGAAUCUUCCGCAAUGGACGAAAGUCUGACGGAGCAACGCCGCGUGAGUGAUGAAGGUUUUCGGAUCGUAAAACUCUGUUGUUAGGGAAGAACAAGUGCGAGAGUAACUGCUCGCACCUUGACGGUACCUAACCAGAAAGCCACGGCUAACUACGUGCCAGCAGCCGCGGUAAUACGUAGGUGGCAAGCGUUGUCCGGAAUUAUUGGGCGUAAAGCGCGCGCAGGCGGUUUCUUAAGUCUGAUGUGAAAGCCCCCGGCUCAACCGGGGAGGGUCAUUGGAAACUGGGAAACUUGAGUGCAGAAGAGGAGAGUGGAAUUCCACGUGUAGCGGUGAAAUGCGUAGAGAUGUGGAGGAACACCAGUGGCGAAGGCGACUCUCUGGUCUGUAACUGACGCUGAGGCGCGAAAGCGUGGGGAGCGAACAGGAUUAGAUACCCUGGUAGUCCACGCCGUAAA